GACAGAGGGUGCAAACGUUGUUCGGAAUUACUGGGCGUAAAGCGCACGUAGGCGGAUUGUUAAGUCGGGGGUGAAAUCCUGGAGCUCAACUCCAGAACUGCCUCCGAAACUGGCGAUCUUGAGUUCGGGAGAGGUGAGUGGAACUGCGAGUGUAGAGGUGAAAUUCGUAGAUAUUCGCAAGAACACCAGUGGCGAAGGCGGCUCACUGGCCCGAUACUGACGCUGAGGUGCGAAAGCGUGGGGAGCAAACAGG
rnacentral:rRNA from 1 species